GUAAUAUCAGCUUCAUCAUUAGUUCAAACACGCAGCAGUCAAACCAACAUCAGAAGACCAUGGACAACCCAGUAAAAACUGCCGGGACAGAACAGUAGAAUGAGCACCAAUUUCUUGGGAUCCUGAGAUAGAUGGAAGAGGAGGCCGUUCGCAGCCCUGCCGGCCCCGAAGAGGAGGCCGUUUCUGUUUCAUGGUGGUCCGACUCCGACGUCCGCCUCGGUUCCUCGAGGUUCGGCUCCAACCAUGUCAGCUCCGGCUCCACGUCUGGUUCUGGUCUCGGCUCUUCGCCUGUCUUCGUCCCUGGCUUGUCCCUCAACUCUGGUUCUGGUUCUGGUUCUGUGCCUGUCCUCAUCCCUGGGUCAUCCCUCAUCUCUGGUUCCCGCUCCUCUUGGUUUUCGUCUCUGGUCCCAGAUCAGCCGUCUCGUCCACCUGAAUGGUGGCCUUGCCCUCAGCUCCGCCUGUCCGCCCGUAGGACGUCGGGCGCGCCCUGCUGUAUCGCCGUAACCCCCCCCCCCCCCCCCCCCCCCCCCCCCCAUAUUAUUUACUGUUUUAUUUUGCAGAAAUUUCCAGUUUCUGUUUCACCAUGUUUUCGUCCCGCUUUACUUCCGGUCACUGAUCAGUCCAGCUGUUGUUCCUUAGUCUUUGUUGAUAACUCUUAG
rnacentral:lncRNA from 1 species